rnacentral:rRNA from 1 species
UACGAAGGGGGCUAGCGUUGUUCGGAAUCACUGGGCGUAAAGCGCACGUAGGCGGAUCGUUAAGUCGGGGGUGAAAUCCCAGGGCUCAACCCUGGAACUGCCUUCGAUACUGGCGAUCUUUGAGUCCGGGAGAGGUGAGUGGAACUCCGAGUGUAGAGGUGAAAUUCGUAGAUAUUCGGAAGAACACCAGUGGCGAAGGCGGCUCACUGGCCCGGUACUGACGCUGAGGUGCGAAAGCGUGGGGAGCAAACAGG